AUUAGAUACCCUAUUAUUUUUAUUGUAAAAUGUGAAACUCGAGUAUUAGUAGUUAAGGUCUUGAAACUUAAAGAAUUUGGCGGUAUUAUAGUCUAUUUAGAGGAAUCUGUUAUGUAAUCGAUAGUCCACGUUGAACCUUACUUAUAUUAUUUCUUGUAUACCGCUGUUUGAGAAUAUACUUUUAGGUUAUUUUCUUAAUAUAAUACUAAUUAAAAUUUCAGGUCAAGGUGCAGUAAUAUAUAAGUUGAAUAAUGGAUUACAAUAAAUUUUAUUUAUAUGGAUUAUUAUUGAAAUAUAAUUUGAAGGUGGAUUUAAUUGUAAUUUUUUAAAGAUUGUUAAAAUGAUUAAUAGCUCUAUGAUAUGUACACAUCGCCCGUCGCUCUCGUUAUUAAGAUGAGAUAAGUC
rnacentral:rRNA from 1 species